UUUUUUUGAUUUUGCUGAUUUUACUCAAUCUCUAGUGAAAAAUCCCCAUUUUUAACACACAACGAGCCUGCAUGCGUUCUCAAAACACACAAGACAUUCUUUGACGCUAAAAGCGGUUUAACUUUUCAUCUAAACACUGCCCCUUUUUUAACUUUUUAUCGUUGUGUUUGAAAGCGAUCAGUAACUCAUUAUAAAAGAGCGCUUCUUAUCUUUAAUUUUACAGCUAUUGAUGAUGAGAUCUAAGAUCUCUAAAACCUGCCUUUCUUCUUCGUUAUUGUGUUUGGUGCUUACCGUGGGGUUGUAUUCGGUUACCUCAACCGCUCCUAAUCGGUCUUUAAAACUUUCUAAAAGCAAGCCCAGUAAUUGCCUUAAUUCAUCAAAACUCAGCCCGUUAUUUUCACGCACGCCGGUAGAAGUGAAAAGCUUGCCAUCCAUAAUGUCUAAAUCCAAACUGAGAUAAAUAAUAUCCACCGCUUUUAACAAUUCUUUGGUUUUUUGAACCACUUCUUGCAUGUUUUCUCUUAUCGUGCCCACGCUAAAUAAAGGGAUUUCUAAUUCCUUAAUCACAUCUCUUUCGCUCUGUUCUGUGCUUCUUACCCCAAAAUACACCAAACAUUUAGGAUCGAUUUCUAACCCCCCUUUUUCCAACCCCAAAGAACAAAGCUUUUGCCAUGCCUUUUCUUCGCUCUCGCUCAUGCGAUUAAACCCGCUAUGGACACGAUUUAAAACCAUGCCUAAAGGCAUGCCGUGAAUGUGCUUUGUAUCGCUGUCAUAAGCCGUAUGAAUAUCCGCAUGCGCGUCUAAA
rnacentral:rRNA from 1 species